rnacentral:lncRNA from 1 species
GCUCCCUCUGUCUCUAUCCUCUCUCCACCUCUCGGCCGCUGGCCGAUUCCAACCGUUGUCGGCUAUUUCCGACGCCGUCCAACACUCCCUCGUCUUCUCCUCGAUCCGGCCUAUCUCCUCCACCAACUGGAUUCGACGCUCGCCUCCUCCUAGUGCGCCCGUGGCUAACCCUAGCCGCCACUGUUGCCGGCGCACGGCGCCGUCAUGGACGCCGGGGCGGCUCUGACGCCCCUUGGUGCUCAUCCUCGACACCUCCUGCACGCUCACCCGCAUCACCAAGGCCGUCGGCGUCAUCGCCUCCAGUCAUGCCACACAUGAGUGUGCUUCCCAAUCUGCGUCGUCUUUAAGGGCGUGGAGCAAUGGAGGUUGGCUCCUUCUCCAUGGUCGCGUGCCGGGAGAGGAGUCAGCCCCGUAUGGUUUUGCGGCAAGGUCAGCGACAGGGGCACUCAGCCACCUAUUAUAUUGUGCUGAAAUUUUCUCAAAUUAUGCUGCUGAAAUUUGCUCUUUUUUAUGCUGAAAUGCUAUUCCGUGUUGCUAAUAUGUUUGCUUAAAUAUGUGGAUUUUUUUCGUGGAUUUCAUGUGGGUUUAGAAAACCCGAUGGGAUUUUAGGACGGGCAAAAAAACUAGCACCGCUCAUGGUGACGGGGACGAAGACGGGCUUGCGAUUUUCUCGUGGGGAUGAGUUCAAACAAAUAAAACACGAUGGGUUUCGUCCCCGUUGCCAUCAUUGGGCAUUUACUGCACACAAAUUUUUACUGCUUGUGAUGUCUAAAAUGCUGUGUUGUCUCUUUCAAAGUUUGACACACGUGAAAAAAGGAUGGAAUGAUCUUGGAAGCUUAUAAAUUUUGUUGCACAAGGUAUUUUUGCUACAAUGCUUGGACUGCUAGGAUUUCGAUUUUACGUGGGAUCUUGGCGCCGCAUAGAAAAUGAUCAUAGUCCAUUUAGAAUUAGUAAAAAAAAGGAGUUCAUAGAUAUAGUGUAAUUCCUACCAAAUGAUGUCACCAAUUACAUGAUUAUCAUUUUAAUAAACCAAACUGUACUAAGUACUAACACAUUUACAUAUGUACUGUCGAAACAGACUUCAGAGGCCAGUCUCAACAAAUCAGCUCAGCUUCAUUGAAGCUAUCUGGGUUGCAAGCUCCAUGGCUUCCUUGACCCGAGAAGCAUCACUUCCCUACAUUGUAGAAUUCACAGAUGAUUAGUAGAGUUUGACCAAAGAGACUUCUCUUGAUAAAGAUUAAACAAUGCCUCACCUGGCCCUGGGCAAGACCAUUCUUGCCGCCACCUCCUCUCCACUUGAGUGGUGUGAUUGAAGGUAUAAGCCAAUCCAACACCUUGAAGCCAUUGGGUGCGUCGGGGGGUACAGCGGCAUAAACAACAGCCUUGUUUGAUGCCUCGUCUGUGCUGAAUACCAUCACCGGCAGACUCUGGAAAAGUUUUGACACAAGGAAUGCAAAUUUAAUGUUUUAAUAGGCACACAAUUAAAUUGUUCGAGUAAGUUGGAAAUUAUGCUGAAUAUAUUGUCAUUUUUGGAUGAAUGAUGGGUAAAACUACUAGACAGAAAUGGAUCGGAGUACCGACCUUGAAACGGUUCAUGGCUUUGACAACUGCUUCACGGACAGCAGUGCUAUCAAGACCCACAUCGACACGAGUAACACAGAAGGGUUUUCCUUCCAAAAAAGCCGCUUCUGCGGCAUUCAUGGCGGUCUUGACAGCGUUUUGCAUAUUUUCUUCACCCAUUUUCUUCUUUGCCUUCCUAAGUUGAUCCUGAUAUACCCAACGCAGCUAUAAUCAGCAGCUUUUAAUUAAACUACUAAUAGAAUACCAAAUAUCAUAAAUACUUUCUCCUUGAAAGGAUGUGACAAAUGAACUGAAACACUUACAGACCUCCAACUUUGAGACAUUGCCUCUUAGAUCAGCUUUUCUCGCAGCUGGGAUAGCAGCUGCAUCCAAUGUGUUCUUGAUGGACCCAAUUUUCUGGUAAAGAAACAUCAUUCUUAGAUACGAUCUAAUACAAAGCAGACGAACAGAAAAUGGCUACAAAGUAAAAUUGACAUCAUCUAUUUAUAUGAAGGCCAAGGACAUACUAUUUUUUAUAAGAAAACAAACAAAAAUCCCAAAAGCUUUUAAUAGUAUCCAAUUUAUCAGAGUAUCACAACCAUAUAUAUAGCUCAUACUGAAGAGACACAAGCACAAAAGGAAAAAAGCUUAGUACCUUUUCCAGUGUCGCUCCGUCCAGUAGCUUAGAUGCUUCAUUGAUAUCAGCUUCAAUAGAUUGUGCCAACUUGAUAGCCUGGGAGGCACACUCAGCAGUAACAGCCGUUAUCCUCCGAACACCUUUUGCGAUACCCUCUUCAGAUAUGAGGGCAAAUUCCGCAGCGUCUCUGGUGUUCGAAAUGUGUGUACCUGAUAUACAUCAACUUUAGAUUGCAUAAAUACACCAAUUAAUGUAGAAUUGCAUAGAACAGAGUAGUAAAUAAAUAUACCUCCACACAGCUCAGUUGAUAUGGAUGACCAUUUUUUGCUUUCAGGGUUUGCAAGCAGAUCUCCCACUUUGGGACCAAUCGAUACAACUCUUACAGGAUCAGGGUAGAUCUACAAAGUCAAUACGCAAAGCGAAUUACACGAAACAGCAGGGCAGGCAAACGAGAUAUGAGAACACGAUACGUCAAGAUGGGUAAGAGGGCGCACUUCACCAAACACCGCUCGCAGGCCAUUUAUGCGCUUUGCGUCAGCUAAUUUUAUUUCUUGUGCAGAUACCUCCAACCCUUCCUUUAUUUGCUGCUUCACUAUAUCCUCAAUUCUUCUCAAAUCUUCGGGCUGAACAGGUUUCCCUGUUAUUAUGUACUAACAAUUGAGUUGACAAGCUUAGAAAAAACAUCAUGCGGAUGCAAUGUAAAAGGAA